rnacentral:rRNA from 1 species
AUUGAACGCUGGCGGCAGGCCUAACACAUGCAAGUCGAGCGAGCGGCGGACGGGUGAGUAAUGUAUGGGGACUGCCCGAUAGAGGGGGGUAACGACUGGACACGGUGGCUAAUACCGCAUACUAUCGGAUAACCCAUAUGGGAGUAGAUAGUAGGGAAGGUAAUGGCUUACCUAGGCGACGAUCCCUAGCUGGUCUGAGAGGAUGAUCAGCCAAACUGGGACUGAGACACGGCCCAGACGCCUACGGAGGCAGCAGUGGGGAAUAUUGCACAAUGGGCGCAAGCCUGAUGCAGCCAUGCCGCGUGUAUGAAGAAGGCCCUAGGGUUGUAAAGUACUUUCAGUCGGGAGGCGUUACCGGCAGAAGAAGCACCGGCUAACUCCGUGCCAGCAGCCGCGGUAAUAC